rnacentral:rRNA from 1 species
GCAGCAGCCACGGGAAUACAGAGGGUGCGAGCGUUAAUCGGAUUUACUGGGCGUAAAGCGUGCGUAGGCGGCUUCUUAAGUCGGAUGUGAAAUCCCUGAGCUUAACUUAGGAAUUGCAUUCGAUACUGGGAAGCUAGAGUAUGGGAGAGGAUGGUAGAAUUCCAGGUGUAGCGGUGAAAUGCGUAGAGAUCUGGAGGAAUACCGAUGGCGAAGGCAGCCAUCUGGCCUAAUACUGACGCUGAGGUACGAAAGCAUGGGGAGCAAACAGGAUUAGAUACCCGGGUAGUCCCUGUCUCUUAUAC